GUACACGCUGUGACUAGCAUAUCAAUAAGCGGAGGAAAAGAAACUAACAAGGAUUCCCCUAGUAACGGCGAGUGAAGCGGGAAGAGCUCAAAUUUGAAAUCUUAAAGGGUUUCCCUUUACGAAUUGUAGUCUAAAGAAGUGUUUUCUGUUGAGGUUUUGGUAGAAGUUCUUUGGAAUAGGACAUCAUAGAGGGUGAGAAUCCCGUAUUUGACCUUUACUUUCAACUUUGUGAUACACUUUCAAAGAGUCGGAUUGUUUGGGAAUGCAGUCCAAAAUGGGUGGUAAAUUUCAUCUAAAGCUAAAUAUUGGCGAGAGACCGAUAGCGAACAAGUACCGUGAGGGAAAGAUGAAAAGAACUUUGAAAAGAGAGUUAAACAGUACGUGAAAUUGUCAAAAGGGAAGCGUUUGACACCAGUGUUGUUUUUCUGAAAAUCUAUUAAAGAACUGUUUAUGCUAAGUUGUUUAGACUUUAUCAGCUAACUGUUUAGUUUUGAGCUUUUCUUUAAUGCACUUUUCAGUUAACAAGUCAACAUCAAUUUCUAUUGCUGUAAAAAAGCUUGAGGAAGGUGGCUUGAGAUUCGUCUUAAGUGUUUAUAGCCUCUUGCCUAUGCAGUCGGAGAGAUUGAGGUCUGCAGCGUAGAUCCUUCGGGGCUAAAUGCAUUUGUGCUAAGUUAUAACAUUUUCAUAGACAACUUGUUGACUAUGAUUUGUCUUGUAGCUUACUCGCUUAUGUUAUUUUACCUACGCUUAGGAUGUUGACAGCAGUAUAGACUGU
rnacentral:rRNA from 1 species